rnacentral:rRNA from 1 species
UGCAAGUAGAACGCUGAAGGAGGAGCUUGCUUCUCUGGAUGAGUUGCGAACGGGUGAGUAACGCGUAGGUAACCUGCCUGGUAGCGGGGGAUAACUAUUGGAAACGAUAGCUAAUACCGCAUAAUAGUAGAUGUUGCAUGACAUUUGCUUAAAAGGUGCAAUUGCAUCACUACCAGAUGGACCUGCGUUGUAUUAGCUAGUUGGUGGGGUAACGGCUCACCAAGGCGACGAUACAUAGCCGACCUGAGAGGGUGAUCGGCCACACUGGGACUGAGACACGGCCCAGACUCCGACGGGAGGCAGCAGUAGGGAAUCUUCGGCAAUGGACGGAAGUCUGACCGAGCAACGCCGCGUGAGUGAAGAAGGUUUUCGGAUCGUAAAGCUCUGUUGUAAGAGAAGAACGAGUGUGAGAGUGGAAAGUUCACACUGUGACGGUAUCUUACCAGGAAGGGACGGCUAACUACGUGCCAGCAGCCGCGGUAAUACGUAGGUCCCGAGCGUUGUCCGGAUUUAUUGGGCGUAAAGCGAGCGCAGGCGGUUAGAUAAGUCUGAAGUUAAAGGCUGUGGCUUAACCAUAGUACGCUUUGGAAACUGUUUAACUUGAGUGCAAGAGGGGAGAGUGGAAUUCCAUGUGUAGCGGUGAAAUGCGUAGAUAUAUGGAGGAACACCGGUGGCGAAAGCGGCUCUCUGGCUUGUAACUGACGCUGAGGCUCGAAAGCGUGGGGAGCAAACAGGAUUAGAUACCCUGGUAGUCCACGCCGUAAACGAUGAGUGCUAGGUGUUAGACCCUUUCCGGGGUUUAGUGCCGCAGCUAACGCAUUAAGCACUCCGCCUGGGGAGUACGACCGCAAGGUUGAAACUCAAAGGAAUUGACGGGGGCCCGCACAA